CAGUCGCCACGGGAAUACGGAGGGUGCAAGCGUUAUCCGGAUUUAUUGGGUUUAAAGGGUCCGUAGGCGGACUUAUAAGUCAGUGGUGAAAGCCUGUCGCUUAACGAUAGAACUGCCAUUGAUACUGUAAGUCUUGAGUAUAUUUGAGGUAGCUGGAAUAAGUAGUGUAGCGGUGAAAUGCAUAGAUAUUACUUAGAACACCAAUUGCGAAGGCAGGUUACCAAGAUAUAACUGACGCUGAGGGACGAAAGCGUGGGUAGCGAACAGGAUUAGAUACCCCUGUAGUCCCUGUCUCUUAUAC
rnacentral:rRNA from 1 species